rnacentral:rRNA from 1 species
UACGUAGGGGGCAAGCGUUGUCCGGAUUUAUUGGGCGUAAAGAGCGUGUAGGCGGUUUGGUAGGUCCGUUGUGAAAACUCGAGGCUCAACCUCGAGACGCCGAUGGAAACCAUCAGACUAGAGUCCGGAAGAGGAGAGUGGAAUUCCUGGUGUAGCGGUGAAAUGCGCAGAUAUCAGGAAGAACACCCGUGGCUAAGGCGGCUCUCUAGUACGGUACUGACGCUGAGGCGCGAAAGCGUGGGGAGCAAACAGG